CCUGAAUUCGAGGUAUCGGCGUUUGAGAUCGCCGAGCGGCUGCGCGCGGCUUAUGAACGCGGCAAGACCCAUGCGAUCGUGGUGCUCGCCGAAGGCGUGAAGGAGAAUGCCGCGCGUAUCAUGCAAUAUUUCGAAAGUAACGGCGNAACCGGGGCAUGGCCGGAUUCGAAUUGCGCGCCACCGUGCUUGGCCAUGUCGUCCGCGGUG
rnacentral:misc_RNA from 1 species